GUGGGGAAUAUUGCACAAUGGGCGAAAGCCUGAUGCAGCAACGCCGCGUGAGGGACGACGGCCUUCGGGUUGUAAACCUCUUUUAGUAGGGAAGAAGCGAAAGUGACGGUACCUGCAGAAAAAGCACCGGCUAACUACGUGCCAGCAGCCGCGGUAAUGCGUAGGGUGCAAGCGUUAUCCGGAAUUAUUGGGCGUAAAGAGCUCGUAGGCGGUCUGUCGCGUCUGCUGUGAAAACUGGAGGCUCAACCUCCAGCCUGCAGUGGGUACGGGCAGACUAGAGUGCGGUAGGGGAGAUUGGAAUUCCUGGUGUAGCGGUGGAAUGCGCAGAUAUCAGGAGGAACACCGAUGGCGAAGGCAGAUCUCUGGGCCGUAACUGACGCUGAGGAGCGAAAGCGUGGGGAGCGAACAGGAUUAGAUACCCGUGUAGUCC
rnacentral:rRNA from 1 species